GUGAAUCAUCGAAUUUUUGAACGCACAUUGCACUAUCUGGUAUUCCGGGGAGUAUGCCUAUUUGAGGAUCAUUUGAAAUAAUAUAAAUUGCGAGUUGGUCUUGAAAUAAAAAAGGGGUCGGUUUAGCUUUCGUGGGGUGGUCGCCUAAAAUGCAAGACAAGCUCAUUUCUUGGGUCACGUGAUACUUUCAGUUACCUCGU
rnacentral:misc_RNA from 1 species